rnacentral:rRNA from 1 species
CCUACGGGCGGCAGCAGUGGGGAAUAUUGGACAAUGGGCGAAAGCCUGAUCCAGCCAUGCCGCGUGUGUGAAGAAGGCCUUCGGGUUGUAAAGCACUUUCAGUGGGGAAGAAAGCCUUGGGGCUAAUACCCUCGAGGAAGGACAUCACCCACAGAAGAAGCACCGGCUAACUCCGUGCCAGCAGCCGCGGUAAUACGGAGGGUGCGAGCGUUAAUCGGAAUUACUGGGCGUAAAGCGCGCGUAGGCGGUCUGAUAAGCCAGUUGUGAAAGCCCCGGGCUCAACCUGGGAACGGCAUCCGGAACUGUCAGGCUAGAGUGCAGGAGAGGAAGGUAGAAUUCACGGUGUAGCGGUGAAAUGCGUAGAGAUCGGGAGGAAUACCAGUGGCGAAGGCGGCCUUCUGGACUGACACUGACGCUGAGGUGCGAAAGCGUGGGUAGCAAACAGGAUUAGAUACCCCAGUAGUC